rnacentral:rRNA from 1 species
UAGGGAAUCUUCGGCAAUGGGGGGAACCCUGACCGAGCAACGCCGCGUGAGUGAAGAAGGUUUUCGGAUCGUAAAGCUCUGUUGUUAAGGAAGAACGAGUGUGAGAAUGGAAAGUUCAUACUGUGACGGUACUUAACCAGAAAGGGACGGCUAACUACGUGCCAGCAGCCGCGGUAAUACGUAGGUCCCGAGCGUUGUCCGGAUUUAUUGGGCGUAAAGCGAGCGCAGGCGGUUAGAUAAGUCUGAAGUUAAAGGCAGUGGCUCAACCAUUGUAGGCUUUGGAAACUGUUUAACUUGAGUGCAGAAGGGGAGAGUGGAAUUCCAUGUGUAGCGGUGAAAUGCGUAGAUAUAUGGAGGAACACCGGUGGCGAAAGUGGCUCUCUGGUCUGUAACUGACGCUGAGGCUCGAAAGCGUGGGGAGCGAACAGG